UUUUGAAAUAGAGACAUUUAUAUAAGCAUUGGCAAUAGUCAUUGACUAAUCAAGCAGCGCACUCAUUGAAACAGAGCCGAUGGAGAGCCGACUCCCUGUCGUGACCCAGGAGAGUCAGAGUUUGGAGGAAGACUGAAGUGAAGUCAGGUGGGCACUAGUGAAGUGAUCGAUCUGAUUGGGCAGACUUUUGUCAGUGGUAGCUGGGCAGUGUGAUUAGGGCCAACAGCAAGCAGACCAUGUCAGUGGUAAUGAUGAUAAACCUUGUGAUGGUGGUAAUCACAAAAGAGCUGCCUCCUCAAACACCAAGUCCACUGAGUCAAGAGACACAGGAUGGGUGUUCCCAGAAAAAUAACAAUGGAUUGAGUGAGAGAAGAGCAUCUAAUAAUGAAGGUGACGAUGGUGAUCAAAUGCCACAUAGAAGAAUUGCAAAAGUAAAGCGGAGUCAUGAACUGGAUGUGGAGGAGAACCCUCAGAUGUCUGUAGAGGAAGCCUGGGAUAAACUGGGAUUAAAGCGCAGCCACGACCCCAUGUUUGAGAGUGUGCUGAAGUUUAAGCCCCAGUCACCACCAGGGUGGGAAGGUUGGGAGGAAUAGGAAGCUACAUGGAGGUAGGAGAGCAUCCGGCCACAUCAACAAGCACACCUUCUUUACUGAAGAGGGAGAUGCCACAGAGCCCAAGCUGAGCAAGACCUUUCAAAAAGUAAGCCUUGUAAACAUUUGACCAAUUAUUCAGAAAUUAUUGUAGCUAGCAAUACCAAUAGUCACCCUCGUUUUUAAUCAAAUCAAAUGUUAUUGGUCACAUACACAUAUUUAGCAGAUGUUAUUGCGGGCGUAGCAAAAUGCCUGUGUUCCUAGCAACAAUGCUCACAAAUCUAAAGUAAACUAAUGGAAUUAAGAAAUAUAUAAAUAUUAGGACGAGCA
rnacentral:lncRNA from 8 species